AGGUAAUGUAGUGUGGAGGUACAAGGUAAUGAAGUGUGGAGGUAUGAGGUAAUGUAGUGUGGAGGUACAAGGUAAUGAAGUGUGGAGGUAUGAGGUAAUGUAGUGUGGAGGUACAAGGUAAUGAAGUGUGGAGGUAUGAGGUAAUGUAGUGUGGAGGUACAAGGUAAUGUAGUGUAGAGGUAUGAGGUAAUGUGGUGUGGAGGUACAAGGUAAUGUAGUGUGGAGGUACGAGGUAAUGUAGUGUGGAGGUAUGAGGUAAUGUAGUGUGGAGGUACAAGGUAAUGAAGUGUGGAGGUACAAGGUAAUGUAGUUUGGAGGUACAAGGUAAUGUAGUGUGGAGGUACAAGGUAAUGUAGUUUGGAGGUACAAGGUAAUGUAGUGUGGAGGUACGAGGUAAUGUAGUGUGGAGGUACAAGGUAAUGUAGUGUGGAGGUACAAGGUAAUGUAGUGUGGAGGUACAAGGUAAUGUAGUGUGGAGGUACAAGGUAAUGUAGUGUGGAGG